UACAGAGGUCCCAAGCGUUGUUCGGAUUCACUGGGCGUAAAGGGCGCGUAGGCGGCCUGCUAAGUCGAACGUGAAAUCCCCGGGCUCAACCCGGGAACUGCGUCCGAUACUGGUUGGCUUGAAUCCGGGAGAGGGAUGCGGAAUUCCAGGUGUAGCGGUGAAAUGCGUAGAUAUCUGGAGGAACACCGGUGGCGAAGGCGGCUCACUGGCCCGAUACUGACGCUGAGGCACGAAAGCGUGGGGAGCAAACAGG
rnacentral:rRNA from 1 species